rnacentral:rRNA from 1 species
UACGUAGGGGGCUAGCGUUGUCCGGAUUUAUUGGGCGUAAAGAGCGUGUAGGCGGCCAGGUAGGUCCGCUGUGAAAACUCGAGGCUCAACCUCGAGAUGUCGGCGGAAACCAUCUGGCUAGAGUCCGGAAGAGGAGAGUGGAAUUCCCGGUGUAGCGGUGAAAUGCGCAGAUAUCGGGAAGAACACCCGUGGCGAAGGCGGCUCUCUGGGACGGUACUGACGCUGAGACGCGAAAGCGUGGGGAGCGAACAGG